rnacentral:rRNA from 1 species
GACGAACGCUGGCGGCGCGCCUAACACAUGCAAGUCGAACGGAGUUUGAGAGAGCUUGCUUUUUCAAACUUAGUGGCGAACGGGUGAGUAACGCGUGAGUAACCUGCCCUGGAGUGGGGGACAACAGUUGGAAACGACUGCUAAUACCGCAUGACGCAUGACUGGGGCAUCCCGGACAUGCCAAAGAUUUAUCGCUGAAAGAUGGCCUCGCGUCUGAUUAGAUAGUUGGCGGGGUAACGGCCCACCAAGUCGACGAUCAGUAGCCGGACUGAGAGGUUGACCGGCCACAUUGGGACUGAGAUACGGCCCAG